AGAGUUUGAUCCUGGCUCAGGAUGAACGCUAGCGAUAGGCCUAACACAUGCAAGUCGAGGGGCAGCACAUGAGGUAGCAAUACUGAUGGUGGCGACCGGCGCACGGGUGAGUAACGCGUAUGCAACCUGCCUACAACAGGGGAAUAACCCGUUGAAAGACGGACUAAUACCCCGUAAUACAGGGAUCCCGCAUGGGAAUAUUUGUUAAAGAUUUAUCGGUUGUAGAUGGGCAUGCGUUCCAUUAGCUGGUUGGUGAGGUAACGGCUCACCAAGGCAACGAUGGAUAGGGGAACUGAGAGGUUUAUCCCCCACACUGGUACUGAGACACGGACCAGACUCCUACGGGAGGCAGCAGUGAGGAAUAUUGGUCAAUGGACGCAAGUCUGAACCAGCCACGUCGCGUGAAGGAAGACGGCCCUACGGGUUGUAAACUUCUUUUGUAAGGGAAUAAAGUGGGCCACGUGUGGCUUUUUGCAUGUACCUUACGAAUAAGGAUCGGCUAACUCCGUGCCAGCAGCCGCGGUAAUACGGAGGAUCCGAGCGUUAUCCGGAUUUAUUGGGUUUAAAGGGUGCGCAGGCGGGAGAUUAAGUCGGCGGUGAAAUUUUGCAGCUCAACUGUAAAAGUGCCUUCGAAACUGGUUUCCUUGAGUGUAGAUGAAGUAGGCGGAAUUUGUGGUGUAGCGGUGAAAUGCAUAGAUAUCACGAGGAACUCCGAUUGCGCAGGCAGCUUACUAAACUACUACUGACGCUCAGGCACGAAGGCGUGGGGAUCAAACAGGAUUAGAUACCCUGGUAGUCCACGCAGUAAACGAUGAUUACUAGCUGUUUGCGAUACAAUGUAAGCGGCUGAGCGAAAGCGUUAAGUAAUCCACCUGGGGAGUACGUUCACAAGAAUGAAACUCAAAUGAAUUGACGG
rnacentral:rRNA from 1 species